CCUACGGGGGACAGCAGUGGGGAAUAUUGGGCAAUGGGCGCAAGCCUGACCCAGCAACGCCGCGUGAAGGAAGAAGGCUUUCGGGUUGUAAACUUCUUUUGGCAGGGACGAAGGAAGUGACGGUACCGGACGAAUAAGCAACGGCUAACGCCGGGCCAGCAGCCGCGGGAAUACGUAGGAGGCAAGCGUUAUCCGGCUUUACUGGGUGUAACGGGCGGGUAGGCGGGGAAGCAAGUCAGAUGUGAAAACCACGGGCUCAACCUGUGGCCUGCAUGGGAAACUGUUUUUCUUGAGUGCUGGAGAGGCAAUCGGAAUUCCGUGUGUAGCGGUGAACUGCGUCGAUAUUCGGCGG
rnacentral:rRNA from 1 species